UACGAAGGGGGCUAGCGUUGCUCGGAAUCACUGGGCGUAAAGGGUGCGUAGGCGGGUUUUUAAGUCAGGGGUGAAAUCCUGGAGCUCAACUCCAGAACUGCCUUUGGUACUGAAGAUCUUGAGUUCGGGAGAGGUGAGUGGAACUGCGAGUGUAGAGGUGAAAUUCGUAGAUAUUCGCAAGAACACCAGCGGCGAAGGCGGCUCACUGGCCCGAUACUGACGCUGAGGCACGAAAGCGUGGGGAGCAAACAGG
rnacentral:rRNA from 1 species